CCUGGUCUUUCCUUACUCUGUGCCAGGCCUGUAGCAUGGGGCCUGGUCUUUCCUUACUCUGUGCCAGGCCUGUAGCAUGGGGCCUGGUCUUCCUGUCAUGGACUAAUUGGGUCAUCCGACAUUCACCCACAUCAACAACAAUCGAUGCAAUGCGGCAUAUUCGUGAAAACUAAUGCAAUCAUCCUAUUGCAUAAUCAUGAUGCAUGAAACAUGAAUAAACAUUUAAUUUAAAAGAUUAAGUUUAGUCCUACUCACCUCUGGCUGACUCUGACAACACCGAAGCAGCUGAACUCACUGCUGGGGUCCUCGGUUCCUCGGGUCCGAACCUACACAGGUGGACUCAAAUGAGGGACCAAACAUACUUGAACAUAACUCUAAAAUACUCCCCAAAAACCCCCUAAAACAUCAU
rnacentral:lncRNA from 1 species